GAUGAACGCUGGCGGCGUGCCUAAUACAUGCAAGUCGAGCGAACGGACGAGAAGCUUGCUUCUCUGAUGUUAGCGGCGGACGGGUGAGUAACACGUGGAUAACCUACCUAUAAGACUGGGAUAACUUCGGGAAACCGGAGCUAAUACCGGAUGAUAUUUUGAACCGCAUGGUUCAAAAGUGAAAGACGGUCUUGCUGUCACUUAUAGAUGGAUCCGCGCUGCAUUAGCUAGUUGGUAAGGUAACGGCUUACCAAGGCAACGAUGCAUAGCCGACCUGAGAGGGUGAUCGGCCCCACUGGAACUGUGACACGGUCCAGACUCCUACGGGAGGCAGCAGUAGGGAAUCUUCCGCACUGGGCGAAAGCCUGACGGAGCAACGCCGGGUGGAUGAUGAAGGUCUUCGGAUCGUAAAACUCUGUUAUUAGGGAAGAACAUAUGUGUAAGUAACUGUGCACAUCUUGACGGUACCUAAUCAGAAAGCCACGGCUAACUACGUG
rnacentral:rRNA from 1 species